rnacentral:piRNA from 1 species
UGUAUCUGAUGCUUUACGCCACCCCAC